rnacentral:SRP_RNA from 10 species
ACCAGGCAUUGUGUCAUGUGUAUGUAGUCCCAGCUACUCAGGAGGCUGAGGCAGGAGGAUUGCUUGAGCCCAGAAGUUCUGGAUUGAGUGUGUGCACUAAGUUCAGAAUCAAUGGGCUAACCUCCUGCAAGAGGAGGGACCACCAGGUUGCCUAAGGUAGAGUGAACCAGCCCAGGUCAAAAACGGAGCAGGUGAAAACUGUCAUACUGAUCAGCAGUAGGAUCAUACCUGUGAGUAGUCACUGCACUCCAGCCUGGGCAACACAGUGAGACCCCAGCU